AGUGAACGCUGGCGGUAGGCCUAACACAUGCAAGUCGAACGGCAGCACAGUAAGAGCUUGCUCUUACGGGUGGCGAGUGGCGGACGGGUGAGGAAUACAUCGGAAUCUACUUUUUCGUGGGGGAUAACGUAGGGAAACUUACGCUAAUACCGCAUACGACCUACGGGUGAAAGCAGGGGAUCUUCGGACCUUGCGCGAUUGAAUGAGCCGAUGUCGGAUUAGCUAGUUGGCGGGGUAAAGGCCCACCAAGGCGACGAUCCGUAGCUGGUCUGAGAGGAUGACCACCCACACGGAAACGGGAAAAGGUCCCAGCUCCCUACGGGAGGAAGCAGUGGGAAAUAUUGGACAAGGGGCGAAAGCUUGACCCAGCCUAACGGGGUGGGUGAAGAAGGCCUUCGGGUGUUAAAGCCCUUUUGUUGGGAAAGAAAAGCAGCAGGUUAAUACCCCGCUGUUCUGACGGUACCAAAAGAAUAAGCACGGGCUACCUUCGU
rnacentral:rRNA from 1 species